rnacentral:rRNA from 1 species
AGUCUAGCGAGCUGAUUAGAAGCUUGCUUCUUUGAUGUUAGCGGCGGACGGGUGAGUAACACGUGGGCAACCUGCCUGUAAGACUGGGAUAACUUCGGGAAACCGAAGCUAAUACCGGAUAGGAUCUUCUCCUUCAUGGGAGAUGAUUGAAAGAUGGCUUCGGCUAUCACUUACAGAUGGGCCCGCGGUGCAUUAGCUAGUUGGUGAGGGAACGGCUCACCAAGGCUCGAUGCAUAGCCGACCUGAGAGGGUGAUCGGCCACACUGGGACUGAGACACGGCCCAGACUCCUACGGGAGGCAGGAGUAGGGAAUCUUCCGCAAUGGACGAAAGUCUGACGGAGCAACGCCGCGUGAGUGAUGAAGGCUUUCGGGUCGUAAAACUCUGUUGUUAGGGAAGAACAAGUACGAGAGUAACUGCUCGUACCUUGACUGUACCUAACCAGAAAGCCACGGCUAACUACGUGCCAGCAGCCGCGGUAAUACGUAGGUGGCAAGCGUUAUCCGGAAUUAUUGGGCGUAAAGCGCGCGCAGGCGGUUUCUUGAGUCUGAUGUGAAAGCCCACGGCUCAUCCGUGGAGGGUCAUUGGAAACUGGGGAACUUGAGUGCAGAAGAGAAAAGCGGAAUUCCACGUGUAGCGGUGAAAUGCGUAGAGAUGUGGAGGAACACCAGUGGCGAAGGCGGCUUUUUGGUCUGUAACUGACGCUGAGGCGCGAAAGCGUGGGGAGCAAACAGGAUUAGAUAACCCUGGUAGUCCACGCCGUAAACGAUGAGUGCUAAGUGUUAGAGGGUUUCCGCCCUUUAGUGCUGCAGCUAACGCAUUAAGCACUCCGCCUGGGGAGUACGGUCGCAAGACUGAAACUCAAAGGAAUUGACGGGGGCCCGCACAAGCGGUGGAGCAUGUGGUUUAAUUCGAAGCAACGCGAAGAACCUUACCAGGUCUUGACAUCCUCUGACAACUCUAGAGAUAGAGCGUUCCCCUUCGGGGGACAGAGUGACAGGUGGUGCAUGGUUGUCGUCAGCUCGUGUCGUGAGAUGUUGGGUUAAGUCCCGCAACGAGCGCAACCCUUGAUCUUAGUUGCCAGCAUUUAGUUGGGCACUCUAAGGUGACUGCCGGUGACAAACCGGAGGAAGGUGGGGAUGACGUCAAAUCAUCAUGCCCCUUAUGACCUGGGCUACACACGUGCUACAAUGGAUGGUACAAAGGGCUGCAAGACCGCGAGGCGCCUACAUGAAGCUGGAAUCGCUAGUAAUCGCGGAUCAGCUUGCCGCGGUGAAUACGUUCCCGGGCCUUGUACACACCGCCCGUCACCCCACGAGACUUUGUAACACCCGAAGUCGGCGGAGUAACCCUAAGGACCUACCCGCCUAAGGCAGACAGAUGACGGGG